rnacentral:rRNA from 1 species
UCCGUAGGCGGGAAUCUAAGUCAGUGGUGAAAUCUUACAGCUCAACUGUAAAAUUGCCAUUGAUACUGGAUUUCUUGAAUUAGUGUGAAGUGGUUAGAAUGUGUAGUGUAGCGGUGAAAUGCAUAGAUAUUACACAGAAUACCAAUUGCGAAGGCAGAUCACUAACACUAUAUUGACGCUGAGGGACGAAAGCGUGGGGAGCGAACAGGAUUAGAUACCCUGGUAGUUC